AAUGGAAUGAUUUUCUUUGGCUGUGCUGAGGUUAAUAUUGGAGGCAGAAACCCUCCGAGAAGGUAGAUGAAAACGAGCGCGAUUCACUUCCUCCUGUUUAACAGGAAUGUGAGGACAGGUCUGGAAAAUACCCUGGCACCAGUUAACAGGUUUAAAAGGGAGUUUCAUUCAUAUAAAUGAUCAAGAUUGUGACUGGCAUAUACAGUGGAAAAGGAAGAAGGGCAAGCGUUUUACUAUACGAUCACAUAUGGGUCAUACACCCCUUUUACUACCUAUAUGCCCAUCCUGCCACCUCUAAGACAUAAAGUUCCAUAGCCAGAGAUACGGGACUGGUGAAAUGAAGAUGGCUUAUGAUGAAACCUGCUGCCUUCUUAAAAUUGCAACCACUGCACCUUUUCUGGAAGCCAGAUCAAGUUUCAAAUCAGUGAUUUCAUUCAACACGUAUUCUGCAAAGCACCCACUCUACAGAAGAAGGCAUCAUGCUGUAGUAGAAAGAACAAGUGCUCUCAGUCAGACGGAUCACAGUGUGAAUCCCACUGCCUCCAUGUUUAUACUCCUAUAUUCCCC
rnacentral:lncRNA from 1 species